AUUGAACGCUGGCGGCAGGCCUAACACAUGCAAGUCGAGCGGAUGACGGGAGCUUGCUCCUUGAUUCAGCGGCGGACGGGUGAGUAAUGCCUAGGAAUCUGCCUGGUAGUGGGGGACAACGUUUCGAAAGGAACGCUAAUACCGCAUACGUCCUACGGGAGAAAGCAGGGGACCUUCGGGCCUUGCGCUAUCAGAUGAGCCUAGGUCGGAUUAGCUAGUAGGUGAGGUAAUGGCUCACCUAGGCGACGAUCCGUAACUGGUCUGAGAGGAUGAUCCAUCAAACUGGAACUGAGACAAGGUCCAGACUCCUACGGGAGGCAGCAGUGGGGAAUAUUGGACAAUGGGCGAAAGCCUGAUCCAGCCAUGCCGCGUGUGUGAAGAAGGUCUUCGGAUUGUAAAGCACUUUAAGUUGGGAGGAAGGGCAGUAAGCUAAUACCUUGCUGUUUUGACGUUACCGACAGAAUAAGCACCGGCUAACUCUGUGCCAGCCGCCGCCGUAAAAC
rnacentral:rRNA from 1 species